rnacentral:misc_RNA from 1 species
CAGAGUUCGUGCCCCUCGGGGUAGACCUCCCACCCUGUGCUGCUGUACCUUUGUUGCUUUGGCGGGCCGCUAGGCUCCGGCCGGCCCCUGGCCUCCGCUGGGGCGUGCCCGCCAGAGGCCCAAAACCUGAAUGUUAGUGUCGUCUGAGUACCAUACAAUAGUUA